rnacentral:siRNA from 1 species
UAGAUUUUCAUCGCCCAUUCA